rnacentral:lncRNA from 1 species
GACCCCAGGACCCCAAGCUGUUUCUGGGUAGGCUCCCAGCAUCUCCCUGCAACCCUGGAUCUCUCCUCCCAUCCUGCCCACUGGAAUACCCAUCUCCUGGCUCCCAGAAACAACAGCCCAGCCUUAGCCACAGACAGGGGCUUAAAAAAGAGCAGGAGACCCCAGGGGACCCCAAGCCCUGGAAAUGGAGCAAGAAACCAGAAAGGAUGAAGGAUGGCAAGAUUUUGAAGAACAGGGAGGAGUGGGUAGCUGGGGGCACACACAGAGCAGGAAAGGAGAAGCCAGACGUCUCUGUUCAGGAUGGAGGCCCUGGGCAGUUCAGAGUUAUGGGAGCUACGAACACCAAGCACGGAGUAGCCCAGGCAGAUUCUGGCACAAGUGGGAGAUAGCAGCAGCUGAUGCCUGAGACUCCAGCCGGUGUGGAAGCCCCCAGGCCCGGGAGUCCUGGACUUGGGCUGAAGUUCGUCGGGGCCCUGCUUGAGGCUGCCCGCUGCCGCCUCGGGGAUGUGAUUCAGCAAGCUGAAAUCCUGCAAGAGGCCCUGCAGGAGCUGCAGAGGAACAGGCUGGCAUCCAUGCCCGGUGGCUGCAAGGGCCCAGAGUCUUCUGCUGUGGGCCAGGAAUACAAUGUGGAUGGAAGCGCAGAUGAGGGGACUGAGGCCCAGAGAAGGGGAGUUACUGGACGGAGGCCAGGGUCACUUCCAGAGCGGCUCCUGGGUCCCCGAGCUUUGGGAAGUAGGAGUGAGAAUCCACAACCCUGUGUCUUCCCCCAGCAUCCCCCAGCCUGGCCUGGUCAGGCCCACUCUCAGAGGGACCACUGGGGCGGGGCCGAGGAAGGGCCCACCUGCCCAUCAAAGCAGGCUUCCGGAGGGCCUAGGCUUCAGCCUGGGGAGAUUCAUGGGAGGGCAGGCCCCAGUCCUGUCCUUAGCCUGAGCAGCCCAGAAACACCAGGUAGAGAACCCUCUGACAGAGACUGUGACGACCAGAAGGUCGGGCCUUCAGAACAUCAAGGCGGGAAAAGACCUCAGCGUCCCCCGAGUCCAGUCCACACCUAA